AGAGUUUGAUCCUGGCUCAGAACGAACGCUGGCGGCAGGCCUAACACAUGCAAGUCGAACGGGCACCUUCGGGUGUCAGUGGCGGACGGGUGAGUAACGCGUGGGAACCUGGCUCUUGGUUCGGGAUAACUCCGGGAAACUGGAGCUAAUACCGGAUACGUCCUUCGGGAGAAAGAUUUAUCGCCGAGAGGUGGGCCCGCGUCCGAUUAGCUAGUUGGUGAGGUAAAGGCUCACCAAGGCUGCGAUCGGUAGCCGGCCUGAGAGGGCGACCGGCCACACUGGGACUGAGACACGGCCCAGACUCCUACGGGAGGCAGCAGUGGGGAAUAUUGCGCAAUGGACGAAAGUCUGACGCAGCAACGCCGCGUGAGGGAUGACGGCCUUCGGGUUGUAAACCUCUUUCAGCAGGGACGAAGCGAGAGUGACGGUACCUGCAGAAGAAGGACCGGCCAACUACGUGCCAGCAGCCGCGGUAAUACGUAGGGUCCGAGCGUUGUCCGGAAUUAUUGGGCGUAAAGGGCUCGUAGGCGGUUCGUCACGUCGGGAGUGAAAACUCGGAGCUUAACUCCGAGCCUGCUUCCGAUACGGGCAGACUAGAGGUAGGCAGGGGAGAGCGGAACUCCUGGUGUAGCGGUGGAAUGCGCAGAUAUCAGGAAGAACACCGGUGGCGAAGGCGGCUCUCUGGGCCUUACCUGACGCUGAGGAGCGAAAGCGUGGGUAGCGAACAGGAUUAGAUACCCCGGUAGUCC
rnacentral:rRNA from 1 species